rnacentral:rRNA from 1 species
UUUGACUGCUAGGCAAUGUGGUGUUCAGGUCGUCUUUUGGCAUUACUGCUCCAUCCUAAGUCCAGCACUGAGUAUGGCAACUGGAAUGGCCCAGGGAGGGUGAAAGGCCCGUGGGGGUGGAGAUCAAGUCGGACGGUAUUGCCCUUAGUCGACCUUGGAGUCGGGUUGUUUGUGAAUGCAGCCCAAAGCGGGUGGUAAACUCCAUCCAAGGCUAAAUACUAGCACGAGUCCGAUAGCGAACAAGUACCGUGAGGGAAAGUUGAAAAGUACUUUGAAGAGAGAGUAAACAGUGCGUGAAACCGCUCAGAGGUAAACGGGUGGAGUUGAACUGUAAGCUCCGGGAAUUCAGCUGGUGAGUGUGUCAUGGGCUUGGUCAUUUUCGGCCGGCCUCUGGAGUCCGCUUAGCUGCGGGUCCUUGCUUCUUCGGGAGUAGGGAUGUGCGUUGCGCUUGUCAAGUGCUGUGCGCUCUGGAGGUUGCCGGGCUGGCUCGCCGGUGCACUUUCUCGGAGUGGUCACCACGACCGGCGUUGUUGUCUUGCUGCUGUGGUCGAACCGGCUGGGUUUGGUCCUUGUGGCUGAACUUGGUCGGGAUGGCAGGUAGCUCAUUGGUUGGCUUGUCCAGUCUUUGGGUGUAAUCAGCUGUCUGCAGUGGUAUUGUGCAAUGCGUCGGAGACUGCGGCUUUAGGUAUUUGCUUUCGUGCCGUUGGCUGGCAGUGUUGGGUUUGACUGGCGUGUUACCUGCUUCGGUGGGUCCGUCGGUAGCUCAGUGCUGUUCGGUUAGCGGUGGCUUAAGUGAUAUCGUACA